GCCAGCUCUCCCUCCAGGCUGACGGAGGGUCCUGCUGCAGGAGUACAUUCUCCAAUUGUUAUUUCAUUAGCAUGUGUUUUAUAGCAUUGUAACGGCAAGUGCUAUUUUUGGCUAUGACUUCACACCAAUGCCUUUGGAAAGCCACACAGCACAAGGAGAAAGAGGGAGGAAACAACCCAGAUGAUCUGUCGUUAUAGCUUGAGCAUGUGGGAAGCAUCAUCCCUCCAGCCUCCACGCAGAUACAAUCUAGUCAUCGAGAAGUGAUUCACACUCCAAGUUUUGACUAGAUGGCCACGUCUGCUGGACCCAAGUCUGAGAUGGAAACGAUCCCGAGGAGCUGGAAAUGUCGCCUGGAGGCAGGUGGUGCUCUGGCUAGUUUGAAGCAGGAGAUGGCAAGAUGACUGUGGAGGGACGGAGGGAGGGGUGAGGUUUGUCAGCCAAACGGAUUUAUGGUUUUUUUUGGCUCAGAAGGACAAAUAAGAGGAUGUGUUGCUGAGGAAAUGGGUGGCAGGUGGAAGUGUCAGCCCUUCAAAACACACAGAAAUAUUAAGGCACUGGGUAAAAUCUGACUGAGAUCUGAAUAUAACUUCAGUCUCAUUUGCAGGGGCUUGCAGAGCUGCCAGAUCAUGACAGACACUCUCAGAGCUCCACAUUUGUGAGUGCAGAAAAGAAAGUUGCACAAGCACUUCUCAAAUUUCUGAUGCAGGACAAGGACUUGGUUCUUAUUUUGGGUCUGGCUUUUGGAUUGUCUGUUUGCACCUUGAAGACAGAAGGGGCUGUGACACAGUGAAGCAUUCAGAAAGGGGUGAUGCUCAGUUGGUUUUGGAGGUGCAAUGCCUGUCCUGUGUCAUGCAAUUACAGCAAAGCUCUUGCUACUUUGUGGGACUGAAUCAUGCCUUUGGAAGAACCCUUCAGCAAUGCUCAUGGUCUGCGCUGAUGUAAAUGGUCUGCAACCCUUCCAGAAUCUCUUCUGCUUGAUUAAUGGCAUGAAGUAACAAAUGAAGUCAGUCAAGACUCUUUAAAUCAGCUCUUUAUUGAAACCUAAUUCUGCAACGGAUGUAUUUGGAGUCUCUUAACGGUGAUGCUGAGAGCAUGUGUGGCAGCCGCUGCGGACAAUGAACUGAUUGUCAUGUUGGAAAAACAACAGAUGCAGAUGGAUGAAAUGCCUGGUCUUAACCCUCUGCAUGUUUGUGUGUGCAUACAUGAGAGAAGGUGAGUGCAAACCUGAGCCUAUGAGGUCCUUAGCCUUUAUUCGUGUGUGAUUGCACUCAUAUGAAGCAGAAGAUGGGACAGAGUGAG